AUACGUAGGGUGCAAGCGUUAAUCGGAAUUACUGGGCGUAAAGCGUGCGCAGGCGGUUUUGUAAGACAGUGGUGAAAUCCCCGGGCUCAACCUGGGAACUGGCAUUGUGACUGCAAGGCUGGAGUGCGGCAGAGGGGGAUGGAAUUCCGCGUGUAGCAGUGAAAUGCGUAGAUAUGCGGAGGAACAACGAUGGCGAAGGCAAUCCCCUGUGCCUGCACUGACGCUCAUGCACGAAAGCGUGGGGAGCAAACAGGAUUAGAUACCCUGGUAGUCCACGCCCUAAACGAUGUCAACUGGUUGUUGGGGAUUUAUUUUCUCAGUAACGAAGCUAACGCGUGAAGUUGACCGCCUGGGGAGUACGGCCGCAAGGUUAAAACUCAAAUGAAUUGACGGG
rnacentral:rRNA from 1 species